rnacentral:rRNA from 1 species
GAUGAACGCUGACCGAAUGCUUAACACAUGCAAGUCUUUGGUGAAGCUGUGCUUGCACCGCCUAGCCAAGGCGGACGGGUGAGUAACGCGUAAGGAACUUGCCCUGCAGUCAGGGAUAACAGACGGAAACGACUGAUAAGACCUGGUAAAGUCAGGCGGACUCAUGUCCAGCCUGAUGAAAAGAGAUGCUGCAGGAGAGCCUUGCGUCCUAUUAGCUUGUUGGUGGGGUAACGGCCCACCAAGGCAAUGAUAGGUAGCCGGCCUGAGAGGGUGGACGGCCACAAGGGGACUGAGAGACGGCCCUUACUCCUACGGGAGGCAGCAGUGGGGAAUAUUGGACAAUGGGGGCAACCCUGAUCCAGCAAUUCUGUGUGCACGAUGAAGGUUUUCGGAGUGUAAAGUGCUUUCAGAAGGGAAGAAAAAAAUGACGGUACCUGCAGAAGAAGCGACGGCUAAAUACGUG